GCGGAAGCUGCGCCAUCAUGCUCGUUUUCGCGUGCGUUCGCGUCGCGCGCUGUGCGAAGUAAUUUUAAACGUGUGAUUAGUUUUGCGCGCGGGGUAGAAAAAGAUGUGGCCCAUGCUUUGUGUAAAACUCGUGCCGCACUUCAAAGCAAAGCGUUCGUACGCACUGGAAGAUGGAUCCACGAAGGCUGAAACGAGAAGUUGCAACGUGCCGGUCGAUAGUACUGGCAUGAUGGAAACUUUCAGGCAAGUGCCGGUUUAUUUGGUAUUUGUUUUGUUCGCUUUAGAAUUAUCUCACUGUGAUCUCGUAGCAUAAUUCAUAAUUCGCUAAUGUAAGAGCAAGAGCAGCUGCACUCCUACUAGGGCAAGUUAACUACCUCGAUCCCGUCCCGUGUGACUAAUGUUUGUCAAAUUUACAUCGGGCGUGGUGCGCCUGCAUAGUUACGCUUUGUUUCUCAGCGCUUGAAUGUUCAUUGAUGUGUUUCUCUUGUGCGUUCAGCGCGGCUGCUUGUAAUGCGGUCGUUCGCGCUUCAGUUAAAUGUGGUCGACCACUUUUGCGUCGCGUAGAAAAGGACUGGCUUAGCCACCUUUCGAAGGAACCGGCGCGGUAUUGGUUCUCCCUGAUGCGGUCGCGUGCUGCUGUUGCUGCUUGCCGGACGCCUUCAGCAUUUUAUCGGCUCGCUUUGUCUGUGCGCGUGCUCGCGCUCGGCUUGAUUUGUGUGUGCGCUCAGCUCAGCUCGCUUUGUGUGUGCGUGCGUGCGUGUGUGUGUGCGCUCAGCUCAGCUCGCUUUGUGUGUGUGUGUGUGUGUGUGCGCGCGCGCGCGCGCGUGCGUUCAGUACAUGCCGGUUUGUAUGGGCCGGCGUGUUUGCGCGUGUCUAGUGCGUACGUGUUUUGUGAGUGUGUUGUCUGUGGGUCGAUGUGUGUGCGUGCACGUGUUAGCGUGUCUGCCUGCAUGCAUGUAUGUGUGCUUGUUUGUGUUCAUCAAUGUGCGCGUGCGCGCUUUUGUGUCUGCGCUUUGAGAGUGCGUAUACUUGUGUGUGCGUGUGGAUGCGUUUUGUGUGCGUGCGUAUGUAUUGCAUGAGGCCGGUAGAGUUUUACUCGCAAUAAAACUCUUCCGAUUUGGUGCAGCGAGUGUUCCCGCCUGAAAGCCGAGUUUGGUUUCAAGCCACCCUGGACAACUGCUGUAUGAGGCGCCGUUUCUCGGGAGGACCAGUGGGAAGGCGCCAAGUCAUGCAGAUGGUAGCAGCGAUUUCACAAUGCCCAGCCUUGGCGCCCCCCAUCAAGAGCAAGCCACUUGCUUUCGCCUUCAGACAGAUGGUUAACGUCUUCUUGAAAGCGGUUGAGAAGACAACAUUGCUGCAAGAUUCCAGCAAUGCCAUGCGCUGCAUUUAUUGGUCAAGAUGCUCAGAGAAUGGAGUCCCUGCACCUCGUGGUUAACCGUGAACAUUUCUUUUUCUUUUGGAAAGCUAAAGGCCAUUUGCUGCAUCACUUGCAUUUUUGCAGCUCAGAUGUGUACUAUAUUUUUCUAAUUUUGAAUCAAUAUUGGCUAUUCAGUAUAAAAAAUGACGUACAGCGUGAAGGACAAGGACUGCGAGAGACACACUCCACUGACUUUCAACAAUAUUUUAUUGCGUUGCCACAUCGUAUGUGUAUACACAGAGGGGUCAUGCGCAGAAAAUGAAAGCCAGACACAAGGGGUGUUCUAACAGCAAGUCAUUGUAAAAAGAACAUGGUCACUUGAAAAAAAAAAACAUCACAAUUUCUAUCUGUUUAGAUACAAAAUUUCACUAGGGGUCAGCGUGAUAGAGGGGGCACUAACGCACACACUACCCAGUUUUCUGGUGAAAUCAGCUUCAAUAAUUUACCGGGUGAGCUGUGUCUCGCUAAAACUUCGGUAUCUUAAAGAGGGGCAUGCAGCCGCAGUCCCGGCAAUGAAUGCCCAAGUGGCCUUGAACAGUGUUAUGGACGUUGUUAUAGUGCUCUCUUAAACGAUCAUUUAGGCGCAUGCCUAUCUGUCCAAUAUAUUUACUGCCUCAAAAUGGGAAUUUGGGAAACCACAUUCAUUGCACACAUCGCAAAACGUUUUCUGUGCUCGGCAGAGCAACAACUCUGACGUGAUUUAGGCGCGUUUACACACUUACAGAGCCUUGCCAGCUUUUCCGGGGCUGAGAAAAGGACUGUGAUUUCUGCAGGUCCCCUAAUCUUUUUUAGCCUAUGGGAGACAUCAUGAACAUACGGUAGCACUGCAAACCUGUGUCUUUCAACCGGCUGGUUCCUUGACCGAGCGUGCUCAUCAUGUUUUGUGCACUUCAGAAGCUGUUCCGCUAUGGCUGAAAUUAAGGCCAAAGGGUAGCCAACCCAAGAAAGGCAAUCAGCCUGUGCAGCAACGCUAUGUUGCAUCUCUUGUGAGCAAGAUUUAUUGAGGCUGUUAAGGAGGCAAAGCUUCACAAUAUCUCAUUUGACUUUGUUGGACAGACAGGCAGGCGCCUAAACAAUCAUUUAGGAGAGCACGAUAACAACGUCCAUAACACUGUUCAAGGCCACUUCGGCAUCCAUUGCUGGGACUGCGGCUGCAUGCCCCUCUUUGAAGGUACGGAAGCUUUAGUGAGACAGGUCAUCCAGGAAACUAUAGAAGCAGAUUUCACUAGAAAACUGGUUAGUGUGUGCGUUAGUGACCCCUCUAUCGUGCUGACCCCUAGUGAAGUCUUGUAUCUCAACAGAUAGAAAUUCUAAUGUUUAUUUUUUUCAAAGGACGAUGUUCUUAGUACAGUCACUUGCUGUUAGACACCCCUUGUGACUCAUAUUCUGCGCAUGCCCGCUUUUGUGCAAAUAUACUCGAUGUGGCAACGUAAUUAAAUAUUGUUUGAAGUCAGCGCAGUCUGUCAUCUCUCGCAGUUCUUGUCAUUCAAGCUGUACGUAAUUUUAUCUCAUUAAUUGCAAACUAUCCCAAGGAACUACCCUUGUUCAGUAUAAUUAUAAUGUUUGAUAUGACCAUUUGCUGGCAAAUGUUAACAGUGUGAUAUUUAACUUGAACUUUUGCAUGACUGCCUAUGCCUGUGUUCUUUUAGUAACCAGAGUAUGGCUAAUUUAUUAAACCAUAUUUGCUAAUUUGCAUGCUCACAUGCUAUAGCAUGCCUUAAUCUUGAAUUACUGCAUCUAAGUGCAAAUAAUUUAGAAAUUUACUAUGUAUUUUAAAACACUGUCCACAUUUUGUGCUCAGCAAAAUCGUUUAAUCAACAGUGGUUUGUUUUUAUCAGGCCUCCUGCUGCACUUUGCACCCAGGCACUAGUAGAUGUGGAAUAUGCACUCUUUUGAUUUAUAGUAAGCAAAGAACCUAUUUUCAAACUACAUAUUGUAUAUGUACCAGUGCCUUAGAGUUACAAAACAAAAAUUUAUAGAAACUGGUAUUGUAGUUAGAAAAACCGCUACACAGCACCUUUAGCCCAGAGAACUCUCAUUUCACAAAAGAGGACAAACUAUGUAGGCGCUAAAAAAUUCUACGUAUUUUUUGUGCUCAAGUAAUCUUGUUGGAAAUAGAAAAUUAGCAAUAAGGCUCCUGGCAUAAACCUCACUUAAAGCAUGUCUAUGCUUGGAAAGUAUUCUUUCAGUCUGAAAAAUGUUGGCCAGUUAUGCUUUACAUCGACUUUCCAAACUUUUCAUAAUGCUUUGCGAUUACAUUAGUGUACAAAAUAACAGGUGUCUUUCUUGUGCGUUUGCUCUGCAUUUCAAUUGCUUCCCUAAUUCACCUUUGCAAUAUGCCUUUUUUUAAGGCAUCAAAACUUGAAUUUUCGUUCACUGGAGCCUAAUACUAAAAAUUUAUUCCUUUAUGUGGCCCAAAACACUGCGAAUCAACCCAGGCUCUUUCAGUGCCGCUAUACAUAGUUUCUUCUCUAAUAACAGAUUUGAUCAAUACAUAUAUUUUAGGUACCUUUGUGGGGAAUGUACAUGUUCUUGUACUUACCGAUGUGUUUGGUGAUUGUGCAUGAUUAUAUUUCAUGUGAUUUAUGUAUAUGUUGUACUCUGUAUUGCAGCAUGCAAUAAAUAUAUUUGCAUUUUCUUGAAAAUGCAGCAUAUAUCUUACCAGUCUGUGUUGCAUGUUAUUUGGAUAUGGAAAUCG